GGAGCCGGGGCGCCGGACGGCCAGGGGGCGGGGCGCGCGGGGCCAGCCCAGACGGGACCUUUGUGUCCGCGCGCCGGACUGGCGGGAGCGCGGGUCGCCGGGCUCGGGGAGGGGACCGCGGCCCCUCGUCCCGUGGGGGAGCCGGGAGAAUGCCCGCCCGUGCUGCACCUACGGUCGGAACAUUCCCCUGAAAAGUGAAGGUCCCGUUCAGGUCCCUCCCCUAACAACCCGCGGCAGGUCCGGGCCCAGCUGACCUCUGCUCCAGAAUCCGCAAGGCCCGCGGCGCCUCCGUUUCAGCGGAGAAAAAGAGCUCCAGGAACGAUGAGAACGAAUAAAAAGAGAGGAGAGGAAACUGAGGCAUGGAGAUAGGUGAGCACACCCCGUCCCCUGCCUGGCCACUGCAAGUCUCUGCAAGAGAAGCCCCUAAAAGCCAGCCCAGCCCUGGACCAUGGCUCAGACACCACUGAGGACACAGCAAGAAUACAGCUGUCCCCAAGCCAGGAAGAGGGUCCUCCACCAGGAACCAAAUCUCGGGCAUUCUGAACUUGGACUUCCCAGGUUCCAAAAACGUGAGAAGUCACUUUCUGUUGCUUAUGCCACCCAGUCUGGUGUUUUGUUAUGGCAUCAGGAACAGCCUUUUCCUCCUCAACUAACCACAGAAUUGUUUUAAUUUUUUUUUUUUUUAAGUUUAUUUAUUUUGAGAGAGAAACACCACCAUUGGGGGAGGGGCAGAGAGAGAGAGAGAGAGAGAGAGAGAGAGAAUCCCAAGCAGGCUCAGCACUGUCGGCGCAGAGCCUGAUGCGGGGCUCGAACUCAAGAACGGGAGGUCAUGACCUGAACCAAAAGCAAGCGUUGGGCGCUUAACCAACUGAGUCCCCCGGGCACCCCAGCCUCUGAGAAUCCCACACCUGAGUUUGGUGCAGUUCCCGCCUGCAGUCAUUCACUGGGGUAUCAUCAGUGCCAGGCCUCCCUUUGCAGUGCUGAGCAUCCAGAGUAAAAAGUGCCCACCCAGGUCCCGCCCUGGAGGAAGUGCCUCCUCCAGAGGGAUGGCAGGCAGGUUGAUAAGGUAGGGUGUCAGGUGGUGGGCUGGAUAAGCAUCCCUGGCUCAGUGAGUGCCCUGCCCUUGGCCCUAUCAGAGAAGACGGGUACGUGGAGAAAUUCUUUCUCCCAACUUGCCACGGCUUGAGCCUCCUGCAACCAGAGACAUCAGCCCACUAUCAUGGCCCCAUCUCAUGGCACUGGCCUAGUGGCCAGACUUGAGCCAGCAGCAGAUGAGAAGAUCUGGCCUAACUUUUCCACCCAAUAAAGACCAAUCAUCCGUCCAGCCAUGUGACAAAUAGUUAUUGCACAUGAGCUCUGUUCUAAGCCCUAGACUAAACAAAACUCAUGUUGGUCCUGUCCUGCCACCCCCUGUCCCCCAGAGGGCUACAGUCUAAUUAGGGGAAGCAGAUGUUAAACCAGUAAUCACAAUGGUAUAAAGUCCCGCUGUAUCCAUAGCAGGGACAGCCAUCAUGCUGGAGAAGCCAGGAGAAUCUUCUCUGGAAAGUGCUGGUUGACCUGGGGUCUCCUGGAAGACCAGGAAUUGAAUAGACAAAGGAAAGGACAUUCCUGAGAAAGGUUAGCACACGUGCAAAGGCCCUGAGACAGGAGUGUGGUGGGGCUCGGACACGAGAAGCAACGUGGACGGAAGUGACAUGGCCAGAGCCAGAGGGGGCUAAGUGGAUGGGUCUCAAUUACAGAGCUUCACUUUAAGAGUGACAGCAGCCUGGUAAGGUCUAAAAGCAGGGAUGAGAGGGAGACUCCUCCCCCCAAAGUAUACCUGUCCACCCAUCUGCCCCCCAUUCCUUCCCACCAUGACUUGGACCUCUACUAUCUCACCAGAAGCAGUGGCCUCCUCCCCUGCCUUAUGCCUCCCCUAAUAUCCGUGACCUCGCUUGUUUUCUGUGCAGCAGCCAGAGUGAGCUUUCAAAAGUAUAAAUCUGACUGUUGCUAAAAAAAAAAAAAAAUUAUUUCUGACCCUUGCUGAAAUGGUAAGACGGACUUUGUUCAGCACUGUCGCGAUAGGGACAGGGGCCCCUGCAGUGGGGUUUGCAUUCAGGGAGAGAGAUGGGGCUCACGUCCACAUACAGGGAGGAGAAGAUGUGUAGCCACAGAGCAGGGUCCGAGAGUGCGAGACUACUAGGAGGAAAUAGCAGGGGGAAGGGGGGGGGGGCGGUCUGGCUAAGCUGGCCUGGCAGGAUUCUUGCGGAAGACAUGGGCGGUCACACAUCCCCUGGGAGGAGGCAGGGGAUGAGGAAUUUGGUCAGACCUAGAGGGCAGGGAAUUCUGACUAAACCAACUCGUCAGGAUUCUUGCCAAAACUGGACUCUUACAGGGACACGGUGGGAAGCUCCAGCUUGUGCCCAGGCGAGCCGAAGGCUCAGAGGAGCCCAACUGAAGUCUGGUCAGGGAGAGAGUCUCUGUCACCAGGUCGUCCUGCCCCUGCUCAAAACCCUUCAGUAACGCCCUGUUGCUCUUUUAACGAAACCCAGACUCAUGUGCUGUAGCACUUCAGAUUGACUUAACAUAAGAAAACUCCAGUAAGGAGCAUCACCAAGUUGGAGGCACAUGUGUCAUGGAAAAGACAACGGCAGGGGAUACGUCUGGGGUGGAUACAGCAGGUCUGGAGGCCCUAAGGAUUGGGUGUCUCCACAUGCUUUAACCCUCAGCAGGUCCCCUCUCUUGGCACCUCGGUUUUUUCAUCUGUAAAAUGGGGACAAUGUCAGCACGUCUCUCGAUAAGGUUGCCGUGUUAAAGUGAGAGACUGCAUGAAUGCUUAGGCACGUUGUGAGAAUUAUUUUUUUAAUGUUUGUUUUUAAAUGUUUAUUUUGAGAGAGUGAUAGCGAAUGGGGGAGGGGCAGAGAGAGAGAGAGAAUCAAUCCCAAGCACUGUCAGCACAGAGCCUGAUGUGAGGCUCAGAGUCACAAACCGAGAGAUAAUCGCCUGAGCCGAAAUCAAGAUGCUUAACCAACUGAGCUACCCAGGCGUGCCUAAAUGUUUGUUUAUUUGAGAGAGAGUGAGAGAGUGCACAAGAGUGGGGGAGGAGCAGAGAGAGAGGAAGAGAGAGAAUCCCAAACAGGCUCUGAGCUGUCAGAGCAGGGCCCAACGUGGGGCUCAGUCUCAUGAGCCACGAGGUCAUGACCUGAGCCGGAAUCAAGAGUCGGACGCUCAACCGACUGAGCCACCCCGGCGCCCCCAGAGAAUUAUUAUGAUUAUUGUUACUUGCUUUUUAAAACACCACUUGCUUAAAUCUAGGUGUCAUUGCCCUUAGCAAUGACAAUAGCCACCCAGUUCUGCCCCCUACAAUGUGCCAGGCACACUGGACACCUUCAGCUCUGAAGACCAGCACAGGUUGACUUCUGAAACCCUCAUCACAACCCAGAAGAACACGCUCUGGGGAUGGGGAAAUGAGGCUCAGAUCAGCAAUGCGACUUACCCAAGAUCACGCAGCAGUACCUGGACAGGCCAAGAUUUGGACAUUGCUGUGUCACACCCCAAGGUGCUCAUUCCCUAGGUGACUUAGACUGAAGUCCCCUCCCCAGGAUGUGUCACCCCAGUCUGCAUCCCCGAGAGGGGCCUCCCCGGGCUAGAGCAGGGAUGGGAACUUGGGCUGUGGGAACACCAGCUCCUCCCUGCCUGGUGCUCUUUGUCUCUUUUGAGGCACCACUUUCUGGAGAGUCACUUCCCCGCCCUUGGUCUGCCUCCAGCCACUGCCCCUCUGUGCAGCAGCCCCAGGAGGUCUUAUAACAUGCAUUGGAUCUCAGCACUCCCUGCCCAAGCUCUGCUCACUCCACUGCGGCCCUAAUGGGCCCCCCAGGGCCUUUGCACAUGCUGUUCCCUCAGCUGGGAACGGUCUUACCCCAUAUCUUCCCAUGCUGCCUCUUUCUAGUCAUUAUGCCUCAGAAGAGGUGCCCACCUCUGCCCACCCUGAACCAAGUGUGGUACCCGCUAAAAUGUGAGCUUCCCAGGGCAGGUACCUUAUCUGCCUCCCAUGGUUUUUAUGUCUGACUUAUAGUAGGUGCUCAAUAAACACGUUGAAGAAACAGGGGCAGCUGCCAUGUGAUGGGAGGGAACAAGAUGUGUCCAGGAUGAGGGACCCGACAGAUAACUCGAUUUCCCCUUCUGUAAAAUGGCACCAGGAGAGCCUAGAGUGGAGAAGGGGUUGGGUGGGGAGCCCAGGGAAGGGACUGAGCCCCUCAGGCAGCUCUUGAGGCUGAAAGCACGAGGUCCAAGUAGGCUGGCCAAGCCCGCGGGCUGAAGGAGGAAAAGACGGACCCAGGAGCCACCUGUGUGAACAACCCACACACCCGGAUACCCAGGCCGCGCACCCCUCCCACCUAGACACACACAGACACCCAGACAUGACAAGUCCCACACACACAGCCCACCUGAGAGGCAGGGACGCACACACACAGAGACGUCCACGUGCAAACCUGCACCACACACACCCUGUGCCGAUGAGCACACCCCCUGACCGCACAAGACCCACAGCACAGCUACGCCAGCACCCCCCACCACCCCAACACAAGUCCGCACGGAUGGAAGGGUGCGGAACCACAGCUCCCAGGGCUCUUCUCCAUCUAGAAAGUCCCCCUCUCCUCCUCCAGGCAGGCCUCAGUGGGGGGGGGGGGGGGGGCGGGGGGGGGUCUGUCCCAGAGUUCUGAGGACAGGGGAUGGGUGGCAGCCACCAGGGAAGAAGUAACCGUGUCACUCCGUCAUCUGGGUCCCCACUGAUCAGUGAGAGGACCUUCCUGGGUGCCCAGGGCACAAGAACCACCCGCCUCCUGCCGCUUUCCUUUCCUCGCCCAAGUAGGGAACGGGGCUUGGGGUGCACCCCACCUCACACUCUUCCAGCCCCCAGCUCACCACAGCCUGGGCGGAAGAGGCGGCAGGGAAGUGGCACAGCUGGAAAGUCAGCCCAGAGAGGUUAGGGGUGCCCCAGUUUGACCCAGCAAGUCCCCGCCCAGGGCUGCAGGCUCCCCACCACCCAACAGAUGGAGUCAGGGGGAGCUCCAGGGAAAGCCCCACCCCACACUUGCACAAGAAUGACAGUUAGAACUCAUUCCUCCAGAUUCCUUUCUUGUCACCUCAUCACCUCCGAGCCCUUCUGGGAAGAGAGGCUGGGCAGGAAGCAGAUGGGGGGAGUCCCAUUGCCUUUUUCCUUUAAGCAGCCCCAGCUGCAAAGCCUUAUUGCUGAAGAAGAUAGCAUAGCCCAGAGAGGGGGAGUGAGAUGCCCAGGGUCACACAGUGGGGGAGGACCUCAGUGGAGGCAGGGGGUGGGGCUCCCUGGACCCUCAGCUGCCAAAACUCCAGGCUCAUAUGUUCCUAGGAUGGCCUGCCUCCCACCUUGGCCUUUAUGACUCUGCUUAUUUAAUGUAUUAUUGUCUUGCUUACUAAUAUUACUAAUUGCUAACUCAUUGCAAGCUUUCAAUAUGCCAGGCACAGAGCUAAGGACUUCACACAGAUUUCUUUCAUUCGUUCAUUUUUCCUGCAACAAAUCUCGAUUAAGCAUCUACUGUGUCCCAGGCACUGUGGUAGGCUCUCGGAGAGACACAUGUGAACAAAACUGAUGAGGUCUGGGCUCUCACAGAGCUGACAUUUUAGGAGCAAAACACAAUAAUCAAGUAAACUAAUACACGAACCUGUUAAUUCCAGACAGAGAUAACUGUCGUCAAAAUCGAACCAUGUUGGGGCGCCUGGGUGGCUCAGUCGGUUGAACAUCCGACUUCGGCUCAGGUCAUGAUCUCACGGUUCAUGAGUUGGAGCCCCGCGUCGGGCUCUGUGGUGACGGCUCAGAGCCUGGAGCCUGCUUCACAUUCUGUGUCUCCCUCUCUCUCUGACCCUUCCCCGUUCAUGCUCUCUCUCUGUCUCAAAAGUAAAUAAACGUUAAAAAACAUUU